UUCCGUUGGUGAACCAGCGGAGGGAUCAUUACCGAGUUUACAACUCCCAAACCCCUGUGAACAUACCACUUGUUGCCUCGGCGGAUCAGCCCGCUCCCGGUAAAACGGGACGGCCCGCCAGAGGACCCCUAAACUCUGUUUCUAUAUGUAACUUCUGAGUAAAACCAUAAAUAAAUCAAAACUUUCAACAACGGAUCUCUUGGUUCUGGCAUCGAUGAAGAACGCAGCAAAAUGCGAUAAGUAAUGUGAAUUGCAGAAUUCAGUGAAUCAUCGAAUCUUUGAACGCACAUUGCGCCCGCCAGUAUUCUGGCGGGCAUGCCUGUUCGAGCGUCAUUUCAACCCUCAAGCACAGCUUGGUGUUGGGACUCGCGUUAAUUCGCGUUCCUCAAAUUGAUUGGCGGUCACGUCGAGCUUCCAUAGCGUAGUAGUAAAACCCUCGUUACUGGUAAUCGUCGCGGCCACGUCCGUUAAACCCCAACUUCUGAAUGUUGACCUCGGAUCCAGUA
rnacentral:rRNA from 1 species